rnacentral:rRNA from 1 species
AACCUCCGCAAUGUGAGAAAUCGCGACGGGGGGAUCCCAAGUGCCAUUCUUAACGGGAUGGCUUUUCAUUAGUGUAAAGAGCUUUUGGAAUAAGGGCUGGGCAAGACCGGUGCCAGCCGCCGCGGUAACACCGGCAGCUCUAGUGGUAGCAGUUUUUAUUGGGCCUAAAGCGUCCGUAGCCGGUUUAAUAAGUCUCUGGUGAAAUCCUGUAGCUUAACUGUGGGAAUUGCUGGAGAUACUAUUAGACUUGAGACCGGGAGAGGUUAGAGGUACUCCCAGGGUAGAGGUGAAAUUCUGUAAUCCUGGGAGGACCGCCUGUUGCGAAGGCGUCUAACUGGAACGGUUCUGACGGUGAGGGACGAAAGUUAGGGGCGCGAACCGGAUUAGAUACCCGGGGUAUCCUAACUGUAAACGAUGCGGACUUGGUGUUGGGGUGGCUUUGAGCUGCUCCAGUGCCGAAGGGAGCUGUUAAGUCCGCCGCCUGGGAAGUACGGUCGCAAGACUGAAACUUAAAGGAAGU